GACAGAGGGUGCAAACGUUGCUCGGAAUUACUGGGCGUAAAGCGCGUGUAGGCGGAUCGGAAAGUCGGGCGUGAAAGCCCCAGGCUCAACCUGGGAACUGCACCCGAAACUCCCGGUCUUGAGUGGUGGAGAGGGAAGUGGAAUUCCUGGUGUAGAGGUGAAAUUCGUAGAUAUCGGGAGGAACACCUGUGGCGAAGGCGGCCCCCUGGUUGGAUACUGACGCUGAGACGCGAAAGCGUGGGGAGCAAACAGG
rnacentral:rRNA from 1 species